rnacentral:rRNA from 1 species
ACAUUUUAAAAAUAGUUGUUGACGUGAUUUGAACUUUAUGGUAAGAUUUAAAAGUUGCGUUAACAAAGCAACUGACCUUUGAAAACUGAACAAAGAAGAAGACGAAAAGCAAUGAGACGUAAAGUCUCACUGGUAAUCGCAGGGCAGAAAACAGAAAGCUGUUUUCAACAAAACAAACUAGUAAUUUAAUUGCUAGCGAAGUCAAUUUGACGCAAGGAAUCUUAUUCACGGUGUUGAAUAAGNUACCAAGGCAACGAUGCAUAGCCGACCUGAGAGGGUGAUCGGCCACACUGGGACUGAGACACGGCCCAGACUCCUACGGGAGGCAGCAGUAGGGAAUCUUCCGCAAUGGACGAAAGUCUGACGGAGCAACGCCGCGUGUAUGAAGAAGGUUUUCGGAUCGUAAAGUACUGUUGUUAGAGAAGAACAAGGAUAAGAGUAACUGCUUGUCCCUUGACGGUAUCUAACCAGAAAGCCACGGCUAACUACGUGCCAGCAGCCGCGGUAAUACGUAGGUGGCAAGCGUUGUCCGGAUUUAUUGGGCGUAAAGCGCGCGCAGGCGGUCUUUUAAGUCUGAUGUGAAAGCCCCCGGCUUAACCGGGGAGGGUCAUUGGAAACUGGAAGACUGGAGUGCAGAAGAGGAGAGUGGAAUUCCACGUGUAGCGGUGAAAUGCGUAGAUAUGUGGAGGAACACCAGUGGCGAAGGCGACUCUCUGGUCUGUAACUGACGCUGAGGCGCGAAAGCGUGGGGAGCAAACAGGAUUAGAUCCCCUGGUAGUCCACGCCGUAAACGAUGAGUGCUAAGUGUUAGGGGGUUUCCGCCCCUUAGUGCUGCAGCUAACGCAUUAAGCACUCCGCCUGGGGAGUACGACCGCAAGGUUGAAACUCAAAGGAAUUGACGGGGGCCCGCACAAGCGGUGGAGCAUGUGGUUUAAUUCGAAGCAACGCGAAGAACCUUACCAGGUCUUGACAUCCUUUGACCACUCUGGAGACAGAGCUUUCCCUUCGGGGACAAAGUGACAGGUGGUGCAUGGUUGUCGUCAGCUCGUGUCGUGAGAUGUUGGGUUAAGUCCCGCAACGAGCGCAACCCUUGAUUUUAGUUGCCAGCAUUUAGUUGGGCACUCUAAAGUGACUGCCGGUGCAAGCCGGAGGAAGGUGGGGAUGACGUCAAAUCAUCAUGCCCCUUAUGACCUGGGCUACACACGUGCUACAAUGGAUAGUACAAAGGGUCGCGAAGCCGCGAGGUGGAGCUAAUCCCAUAAAACUAUUCUCAGUUCGGAUUGUAGGCUGCAACUCGCCUACAUGAAGCCGGAAUCGCUAGUAAUCGUGGAUCAGCAUGCCACGGUGAAUACGUUCCCGGGCCUUGUACACACCGCCCGUCACACCACGAGAGUUUGUAACACCCGAAGUCGGUAGGGUAACCUUUAUGGAGCCAGCCGCCGAAGGUGGGACAGAUAAUUGGGGUGAAGUCGUAACAAGGUAGCCGUAUCGGAAGGUGCGGCUGG